rnacentral:rRNA from 1 species
ACGGAGGAUCCAAGCGUUAUCCGGAAUCAUUGGGUUUAAAGGGUCCGUAGGCGGCUUAAUAAGUCAGUGGUGAAAGCCCUACGCUUAACGUAGGAACGGCCAUUGAUACUGUUAGGCUUGAAUUAUUAGGAAGUAACUAGAAUAUGUAGUGUAGCGGUGAAAUGCUUAGAGAUUACAUGGAAUACCAAUUGCGAAGGCAGGUUACUACUAAUGGAUUGACGCUGAUGGACGAAAGCGUGGGUAGCGAACAGG